AGAGUUUGAUCAUGGCUCAGGAUGAACGCUAGCGGAGGCCUAACACAUGCAAGCCGAGCGGUAUUGUUUCUUCGGAAAUGAGAGAGCGGCGUACGGGUGCGGAACACGUGUGCAACCUGCCUUUAUCUGGGGGAUAGCCUUUCGAAAGGAAGAUUAAUACUCCAUAAUAUAUUGAACGGCAUCGUUUAAUAUUGAAAGCUCCGGCGGAUAGAGAUGGGCACGCGCAAGAUUAGCUAGUUGGUGAGGUAACGGCUCACCAAGGCGAUGAUCUUUAGGGGCCUGAGAGGGUGAUCCCCCACACUGGUACUGAGACACGGACCAGACUCCUACGGGAGGCAGCAGUGAGGAAUAUUGGUCAAUGGGUGCAAGCCUGAACCAGCCAUCCCGCGUGAAGGACGACUGCCCUAUGGGUUGUAAACUUCUUUUGUAUAGGGAUAAACCUACCCUCGUGAGGGUAGCUGAAGGUACUAUACGAAUAAGCACCGGCUAACUCCGUG
rnacentral:rRNA from 1 species